rnacentral:rRNA from 1 species
UACAGAGGGUGCGAGCGUUAAUCGGAAUUACUGGGCGUAAAGCGUGCGUAGACGGUUCUGUAAGUCGGAUGUGAAAUCCCCGGGCUCAACCUGGGAAUUGCAUUCGAAACUGCAAAGCUAGGGUACGGUAGAGGGAAGCGGAAUUUCCGGUGUAGCGGUGAAAUGCGUAGAUAUCGGAAGGAACAUCAGUGGCGAAAGCGGCUUCCUGGACCAGUACCGACGUUCAGGCACGAAAGCGUGGGGAGCAAACAGG